rnacentral:rRNA from 1 species
CAGUAGCCACGGUAAUACGAAGGGUGCAAGCGUUAAUCGGAAUUACUUGGCGUAAAGCGUGCGUAGGCGGUGAGUUAAGUCUGCUGUGAAAUCCCCGGGCUCAACCUGGGAAUGGCAGUGGAUACUGGCUCGCUAGAGUGUGUCAGAGGAUGGUGGAAUUCCCGGUGUAGCGGUGAAAUGCGUAGAGAUCGGGAGGAACAUCAGUGGCGAAGGCGGCCAUCUGGGACAACACUGACGCUGAGGCACGAAAGCGUGGGGAGCAAACAGGAUUAGAUACCCCUGUAGUCCCUGUCUCUUAUAC